UAGAGAGAGAAAGAGGUUGGUCGAGGAAGAAAAUAAAAGAGAAGAGGUUUGGUUUUGUUCUAGCGAGCGAACGAGUCGAGCGCGCACACGUGUUUUUUUUUUUUUUUUUUUUUUUUUUUUUUUUUGUGUUUCGACAUUAUCACAAUAUUAUUAUUUCUCGUUUAGAUUAUUUUGAUAAAUUUUUUAUAGAAAUUGAUAGUUAGAAACUGAUUUUUUUAUACAUUUUAUGAGCUGAUUUCGUGGCUGUCGUUUUCAUUAAGAGAGCUGUAGCAUACCAUCUGACUAUUUCAACUGUCGUCCUAUUUCUUGGGUUUGUGAUAUAAAUGGGUUCCGUGUUGUCAAAAUUGGCGGACUAAUUUCUAUGUCCAUAUUAUAUUAUUUAACCUGUAAGAUGAACUGUUGAUAUAGUUGAGAUAAUAGUGAAAAUUUGAUAUAUGCUAAUAGAGUAAAUUAAGAUAUAUAUAUGUGUGAUAUUUUUCUAAAAGUCAAUAGACAGAUACAGAUAGUGUCAGACUAUAACUGUAUUUUGGACAUUAUGACAGUAUUAUCAUGAUAUGUUUGAUCAUAGCAUUGACCACAGCCUACAUGCUAUAUUAAGUUUGACAGUGAUACUAUACUCGGUUGGGGUAACGCCCUGCAAGUGCUACUCCGGAGAUUGGGGUAUGAGAUAUUAUUAUGGCAUGGGUCAGACAGUAUUUUGUGUGGUAGCGGAUUACUAUAGGUGGGUGCUGGACACGAGGUGGCGCAGACUAGACCUGACUGUUGAGUCGGUCACUAUAAUUGGGCAUUAUUGAAGUAUUUCAUUUAGUUU
rnacentral:lncRNA from 1 species